rnacentral:rRNA from 1 species
UCGAGCGGUAACAGAUCUAGCUUGCUAGAUGCUGACGAGCGGCGGACGGGUGAGUAAUGCAUAGGAAUCUGCCCGAUAGUGGGGGAUAACCUGGGGAAACCCAGGCUAAUACCGCAUACGUCCUACGGGAGAAAGGGGGCUUCGGCUCCCGCUAUUGGAUGAGCCUAUGUCGGAUUAGCUAGUUGGUAAGGUAAUGGCUUACCAAGGCAACGAUCCGUAGCUGGUCUGAGAGGAUGAUCAGCCACAUCGGGACUGAGACACGGCCCGAACUCCUACGGGAGGCAGCAGUGGGGAAUAUUGGACAAUGGGGGCAACCCUGAUCCAGCCAUGCCGCGUGUGUGAAGAAGGCCCUCGGGUUGUAAAGCACUUUCAGCGAGGAAGAACGCCUGGCGGUUAAUACCCGGCAGGAAAGACAUCACUCGCAGAAGAAGCACCGGCUAACUCCGUGCCAGCAGCCGCGGUAAUACGGAGGGUGCAAGCGUUAAUCGGAAUUACUGGGCGUAAAGCGCGCGUAGGUGGCUUGAUAAGCCGGUUGUGAAAGCCCCGGGCUCAACCUGGGAACGGCAUCCGGAACUGUCAGGCUAGAGUGCAGGAGAGGAAGGUAGAAUUCCCGGUGUAGCGGUGAAAUGCGUAGAGAUCGGGAGGAAUACCAGUGGCGAAGGCGGCCUUCUGGACUGACACUGACACUGAGGUGCGAAAGCGUGGGUAGCAAACAGGAUUAGAUACCCUGGUAGUCCACGCCGUAAACGAUGUCGACCAGCCGUUGGGUGCCUAGAGCACUUUGUGGCGAAGUUAACGCGAUAAGUCGACCGCCUGGGGAGUACGGCCGCAAGGUUAAAACUCAAAUGAAUUGACGGGGGCCCGCACAAGCGGUGGAGCAUGUGGUUUAAUUCGAUGCAACGCGAAGAACCUUACCUACCCU